GAUGAACGCUGGCGGCGUGCCUAAUACAUGCAAGUCGAACGAAGAUCUAGCUUGCUAGAUCUUAGUGGCGAACGGGUGAGUAAUACAUAAAUAAUCUGCCCAUAUGACUGGGAUAACUAUUGGAAACGAUAGCUAAUACCGGAUAGGUUGAUUGGAGGCAUCUCUGAUUAAUUAAAGUAGGAUUUCUACACAAAUGGAUGAGUUUAUGGCGCAUUAGUUAGUUGGUGGGGUAACGGCCUACCAAGACGAUGAUGCGUAGCCGACCUGAGAGGGUGACCGGCCACACUGGGACUGAGACACGGCCCAGACUCCUACGGGAGGCAGCAGUAGGGAAUUUUCGGCAAUGGGCGCAAGCCUGACCGGGCAACGCCGCGUGAGUGAUUAAGGCCUUCGGGUUGUAAAGCUCUGUUGUAAGGGAAGAACAUUCAGGAUAGGAAAUGAUCUUGAACUGACGGUACCUUACCAGAAAGCCACGGCUAACUACGUGCCAGCAGCCGCCGUAACAC
rnacentral:rRNA from 1 species